rnacentral:rRNA from 1 species
UACAGAGGGGGGCAAGCGUUUGUUCGGAAUUACUGGGCGUAAAGGGCGCGUAGGCGGCCUUCUAAGUCGAACGUGAAAUCCCCGGGCUCAACCCGGGAACUGCGUCCGAUACUGGAAGGCUUGAAUCCGGGAGAGGGAUGUGAAAUUCCAGGUGUAGCGGUGAAAUGCGUAGAUAUCUGGAGGAACACCGGUGGCGAAGGCGACAUCCUGGACCGGUAGUUGACGCUGAGGCGCGGAAAGCCAGGGGAGCAAAGCGGGG